rnacentral:tRNA from 1 species
AUUUUAAUAUUAUAAGUGAGUAAGUUUAGUUUCCAACUAAAAAGUUUAAUUUUUUAAUUAGAAUA